GCCUUCUUCGCCGGAUUCCUCCCGAUCGAAACCCUGCCGCCCCGAUACUCGAGUCUGCAGCGCACCGCGCGCCGCGCGCGACAGAUCCAUGGCGGCGGCGCUCCGGUCCACGGCCGGCCUGGCGCUCCGGCCAGCCUCCCGCCUCUUCCCCACCCCGCCCACAAACUCCAGGGCGGUACGUAAGCUAGUGCACCUUCAUCUGUCUGUUCCUUUUUUCAGCAGUAGUGAAGUAAAUCCCGAUAUCCCGAUCUGAAUCCCUCCUCCGGUACAACCAUUCUGCAGCGGACAAUGUUCACCGAAGGGCCGCACGGCAGCGCCGACGGGUGAGUUCGUGAUUGCUAUAUAUGCUCGGUUCUUUCCAGGAUAUGAUUAUUCCGUCGCCGGUUGAGCGCGUGUACUGACGCCGAUGUAUAUAUAUAUAUAUAGGGGGUGGCCGGAUAUCAUCUUUUCCUUCGUCGCCUUGACGGGAUCAUGCAUCUUCGCUUGGAUCGCGUUCGACGGCGACGGGCCGGAUGGGUGCAUACGAGGACGGGGAGGAGGAGGACGACGAGGUAGAUGAGCCAGCCGUGGCUCGUGCAGUAGUUCAUGCUGUAGACUAGUGCGUAAUGCGUGCCUUCGCACCGCGCCCGUAGGCAAUUCCGCUGCCCAUUUUCAGCUGUAAAGAAAUCAUUAGCUGAAUAAUCGAAGUAUAAUUCCACGCCGCUUGGCACAACGGGAGCAGAGAGUUUGAUGAGUUCAGGCACCUAGCACAUACUCCCCUCUGUUCCAUAAUAUUGCGUACACAUGGUGAUACGAUGAACAAAUAGGUUUACUACUUUGGAAUACAUACGGUUGGACCCAGUUCUAAUUGCCCGCAAUAUCUUUUUCCUAAUCAUUAUGAUUAGUAACAAAUUACUGAAAUUGCUAAAAAAAAAACUAUGCAGGUUUCUACUCCUUACUUUUUGAGUGAGGGGAAGGGGAAACAUUUCUAAUACCUUGGCGGUAAUACAACUAUGAUCAAAUCCAGAGCAAGCAUAGUAUGACAUCAAAGUUGCUACAAAGUAAGAUGGCAUCAAAGUUUCAGUAUAGAUGCAUGGUUCGUGUGGUACCUGCAGCCUCCACUUGUGGACCUGAGGUUGCAUAUGUUACCAAGAUCCUUGAGCAGGUCCCUUGAGGCAUCCUCCUCCACCAACACAAUCCAUUUUCAACUAAGUGGUACCAUAAAUCAUUUACCAUGUGAGAGUUUCUGCAUUCACAAGAAGAUUUCAAGAAUACACGAAGAAUAACGCAUCUUCUUGACCCAUUGUUGGUGCCACCUGUCUCGGUGCUGGUCUGGGCAGGGUGGUGGUCGACGGUGAGCUAUGCCCACAACCAAAUAUGUAUGUGUUUUCGGGCAGGCGUCGUUCUGUGGUUCGCUGGGUGCCCUG
rnacentral:lncRNA from 1 species